rnacentral:rRNA from 1 species
AUGCAGUUCGGCGGGGCAUCUUUCCUACGGGAGCUGCCUCCCUGGUCCGCGUCGUCCUCUCCGAUGGUGGUGGCGUGGUGGGGCUACCUCCCUGGUCUUCGCCGUCCUCUCCGACGGUGGUGGCGUGGCGGGGCUGCCUCCCUGGUCCUCCUUGUCGUCCUCUCCUACGGGGCUGCAUGCAGUCAAGUACGUGCGGGCAUGCAGCACGUAGGCACUCCCAUGCGCAGUCCACAACAUGGGUUCAGCCCCCACAGUGGUGUGCAGCUCUGCCCACGGGCCUAUGCAGUACGCGAUAACGAGCUGGUUUCGGGGAGCAAAACCAUCAGCGUGUGA